GGAGAGGUGACUGAGUGGCCUAAAGUGUUGGUUUGCUAAACUAAUGUACUUAUUCGAGUACCAUGGGUUCGAAUCCCAUCUUCUCCA
rnacentral:tRNA from 1 species